rnacentral:rRNA from 1 species
UAAAUAGUGCUGCUAGCUUUUGCUGGUAUAGUCACUUCUUAGAGGGACUAUCGAUUUCAAGUCGAUGGAAGUUUGAGGCAAUAACAGGUCUGUGAUGCCCUUAGACGUUCUGGGCCGCACGCGCGCUACACUGACGGAGCCAGCGAGUUCUAACCUUGGCCGAGAGGUCUG